AACCUUUACAAUGCACGCAAGUGUGAUAAGGGAAUCCCAAGUGCUUUGCUUUUAGUAAGGCUUUUGCUAUAUGUAAAUAGUAUAACGAAUAAGUGGUGGGCAAGACUUGUGCCAGCCGCCGCGGUAACACCAGCGCCACAAGUGGCAACCGUAUUUAUUGGGCCUAAAGCGUCCGUAGCCGGUUCGAUAAAUUUUCUGUGAAAUUGUUAGGCUUAACUUAACAGCGUGCAGAAAAGACUGUCGAACUUGGGAUUUGGAGGAGUCAGAGGAAUUUCUGGGGGAGCGGUAAAAUGCUAUAAUCCCAGAAGGACCCCCUGUGGCGAAGGCGUCUGACUAGAAUGAAUCCGACGGUGAGGGACGAAAGCCAGGGGAGCAAUCCGG
rnacentral:rRNA from 1 species